CUUUUCCUUUAAUAAUGAUGAGGCCCGGAAAGAUGAAUAUUCCCAGCAAUCCAGCAAUGAUGAGAUGAAGCAAAAUAAACUCUGUGGAACUGUAAGUAAAAUGGAACUUUUCUAGCUGCUCAACCAAUCCUUGUUGCCACCUUUAAAAAAAAAACAAAAACAAAAACCAAAAAACAUACUUUUCUUUUCUUUUCUUUUCUUUUCUUUUCUUUUCUUUUCUUUUCUUUUCUUUUUUCUUUUCCCUUUUCCCUUUCCUUUCCUUUCCUUUCCUUUCCUUUCCUUUCCUUUCCUUUCCUUUCCUUUCCUUUCCUUUCCUUUCCUUCCCUUCCCUUCCCUUCCCUUCCCUUCCCUUCCCUUCCCUUCCCUUCCCUUCCCUUCCCUUCCCUUCCCUUCCCUUCCCUUCCCUUCCCUUCCCUUCCCUUCUCUUUUCUUUUCUUUUCUUUUCUUUUCUUGGAAUUUGGUAAUUUUGCUUUUUAAAAUAAUUUUUAUUAGAUAUUUUCUUUAUUUACACUUCAAAUGUAUCCCCUUUCCUAGUUUUCCCUCUGAAAAUUCUCUAUUCCCUCCCCGCUCCCCCUGCUCCCCAACCCACCCAUUCCUGCGUCCUGGCCCUGGCAUUCCCCUAUACUAGGGCAUAGAACCUUCACAGGAUCAAGGGCCUGUCCUCUCAUUGAUGACUGACUAGGCCAUCCUCUGCUACAUAUGCAGUUAGAGUCACGAGUCCCAUCAUGUGUUCUCUUUGAUUGGUAGUUUAGUCCCAGGGAGCUCUGGGGGCACUGGUUAGUUCAUAUUGUUGUUCCUCCUAUGGGACUGCAAACCCUUUCAGCUCCUUGGGUACUUUCUCUUUCUCUUUCAUUGGGGACCCUGUGCUCCAUCCAAUGGAUGACUAUGAACAUCUACUUCUGUAUUUGUGAGGAAGGUGCACAGUUAUAUGGUGUUUGGACUUCCUCCUGGCUGAAGAUGAAGGCCCAAAACAGGAUCUUUCCCAGAAACCGUGUUGCUUUGGCCAGGAAGGUUGCCGGUUGUCUGGAGCCGAAGGUGGCGCCACCUCAGAAGCUCUGUGGCUCUCGCCAG
rnacentral:lncRNA from 1 species